rnacentral:rRNA from 1 species
CACGUAGGCACCAAGCGUUGUCCGGAUUUAUUGGGCGUAAAGAGCUCGUAGGCGGCUUGUCACGUCGGGUGUGAAAGCCCGGGGCCUAACCCCGGGACUGCAUUCGAUACGGGCAGGCUAGAGUGUGGUAGGGGAGAUCGGAAUUCCUGGUGUAGCGGUGAAAUGCGCAGAUAUCAGGAGGAACACCGGUGGCGAAGGCGGAUCUCUGGGCCAUUACUGACGCUGAGGAGCGAAAGCGUGGGGAGCGAACAGG